rnacentral:rRNA from 1 species
GACAUGCAGAGAAACUUUCCAGAGAUGGAGUUGGUGCCGUUCGGGAACGUCUGGACACAGGUGCUGCAUGGCUGUCGUCAGCUCGUGUCGUGAGAUGUGGGUUAAGUCCCGUAACGAGCGCAACCUUGUCCUUAGUUACCAGCACGUUAUGGUGGGCACUCUAAGGAGACUGCCGGUGACAAACCGGAGGAAGGUGGGGAUGACGUCAAGUCAGCAUGGCCUUUAUAUCCUGGGCUACACACACGCUACAAUGGGAAGGGACAAUAGGUUGCGAAACCGCGAGGUGGAGCCAAUCCAGCAAAACUUCCCUCAGUUCAGAUUGCAGGCUGCAACUCGCCUGCAUGAAGUUGGAGUUGCUAGUAAACGCAGGUCAGCCAUACUGCGUUGAAUACGUUCCCGGGGCUU